AGCUCAAAUUUGAAAUCUGGCGUCCUCAGGGCGUCCGAGUUGUAAUCUAUAGAGGCGUUUUCCGUGCCGGACCGUGUCCAAGUUCCUUGGAACAGGAUAUCAAAGAGGGUGACAAUCCCGUACUUGACACGACGACCGGUGCUCUGUGAUACGUCUUCUACGAGUCGAGUUGUUUGGGAAUGCAGCUCAAAAUGGGUGGUGAGUUCCAUCUAAAGCUAAAUAUUGGCGAGAGACCGAUAGCGAACAAGUACCGUGAGGGAAAGAUGAAAAGCACUUUGGAAAGAGAGUUAAACAGUACGUGAAAUUGUUGAAAGGGAAACGAUUGAAGUCAGUCGUGACCGAGAGGCUCAGCCGGUUCUGCCGGUGUAUUCCCCUCGGUCGGGUCAACAUCAGUUUUGUCCGGUGGAUAAGGGCGGUAGGAAGGUGGCACCCUCGGGUGUGUUAUAGCCUGCCGUCGCAUACAUCGGGUGAGACUGAGGAACGCAGCUCGCCUUUAUGGCCGGGGUUCGCCCACGUCCGAGCUUAGGAUGUUGACAUAAUGGCUUUAAACGACCCGUCUU
rnacentral:rRNA from 1 species